rnacentral:rRNA from 1 species
GUAGGUGGCAAGCGUUGUCCGGAAUUAUUGGGCGUAAAGCGCGCGCAGGCGGUUCUUUAAGUCUGAUGUGAAAGCCCACGGGCUCAACCGUGGGGGGUCAUUGGAAACUGGAGAACUUGAGUACAGAAGAGGAAAGCGGAAUUCCACGUGUAGCGGUGAAAUGCGCAGAGAUGUGGAGGAACACCAGUGGCGAAGGCGGCUUUCUGGUCUGUAACUGACGCUGAGGCGCGAAAGCGUGGGGAGCAAACAGGAUUAGAUACCCUGGUAGUCCACGCCGUAAACGAUGAGUGCUAAGUGUUAGGGGGUUUCCGCCCCUUAGUGCUGCAGCUAACGCAUUAAGCACUCCGCCUGGGGAGUACGGCCGCAAGGCUG